rnacentral:sRNA from 2 species
AUGCCAUAUGGAUGAGCCUGGGAACUUUAAACAUGCCUCAAGAAGUGAAAGAAGAUUAUGUACAUUUCAUUAUUGAAUCAAUGAGAUAGCAGAUGCUUGUCAUCGGAAAAAUUUGACUUUUUGACCGAUUGAUUAGACAAACAAUCAAUUUUUUCGAUCUUCAACUUUAUUUUUAUUUUUUUUUGACCUGUUACAAACAUGCCAUGCUAGAGUUCUAUUGAGAUCCAAACCAGAACAUUCCUCAUAAUGCGCUGUUUAGCACAGAAUUUUAGACUGCGGGCUUUUGAUUUUGUUCAAAAACGUCGCCGACGGGACCUAAGGAUACUCGCGAGCUCUGAAGCGAGAAUUCCUCCAGUUGGCGGUUUUAAAUACUAGUACUACCCUUGACGCGAAGAGGAAGUAUAGAUGGGCGCCCCCCGUCACGAUAUUUGUAUUUAUUUUAUUUAUCUAUAUUUUUAAUGUAUCGUAGUGGUGCGGGACUUCUGGGGACUGAUCCAGUCGACUUGAGAAUGAAACUGGAGUCUUCUCAAUCGGCAUCCUUCCACCGUUCGUGCGCAAUUGAUGCCCGGCAACAGAUAGCCCCUGAAAACCCAAGCAGGGGCGGAGGAGCGAUGAUGGUUUCAAUUGGGGCGCGAGAACGAAAUGGUAGUGGAUGUUUAGCGGGAU